rnacentral:rRNA from 1 species
AACUGAACCUCAGAUCAGGCGAGAUUACCCGCUGAAUUUAAGCAUAUCAAUAA